ensembl:lncRNA
GUUGCCGCUGGCUGGAGUAGGCAGAGGCAUGGAUGGAAUUGUGCCCCUAUUUCAAUGCAUCUAUUGCACAUCAGCUGUAAGGGGUUGUAGCACAUUCCCAAGGGCUAAUUCUCUGGAUUUGUCUAUAGGAUCCAGUGGACAUAAAGAGCAGCGCAGAGCCUGAGCCAGAGCCGGAGCCGGAGGCAGCAGCUCUCGAACCCAGUCCUGUGGAAGCCGCAGAAGAAAACAACCCGUCAGAGGAGGUCAAAGCAACAGAAAAGACAGUUAUGAACUUUUUCAAAACAUUUGUCACUCCGACCAAAACAAGCAAAGAAGCCAAAGCCACUCCAGAUGCUUCAAAAGAGCAGCCACAGAAAGAGACCCCAUCAGCACCAUCAACAAAUGUACAGGAAGCACCCAAGGCACCUCCUCCUCCUCCCCCAGCACCACCUAAGAUGGAAAGCAAAGCAGAGCCGGUGGUGAAGAAAGAGGAAACGUCUUCAACAAAAGCAGUAGCAGCAGCUGCAACAAAAGCAGAGGGAUCUGCCAAGAGCAAAACCAAAGACAGUGCAUUAAGCAAACUCUUCCGUUCAAAGGUGUUGCUAGGCAAGGUGGUGUCAAAAGUUCAGGCGGCAACAAGCAGUGGAGCCAGAGCUAAGACGUCAGGAGUGCCUGUUGUGGUGGAAGAGAAAAAGCCGGUUGAGGUGCAGGUCGAUGCGUCUAAGACCAGCACUCUUGAGGCCGCUGCCAAACCUGAAGAACCUCCGGCGCCAAAACCAGAGGAGAAGAAACUAGAAAAGAAAUCCACUUUUGGAAACAUGUUCAAACCCAAGGUUCUGCUCGGCAAGGUGAGCAGCAGGAUCCAGGCCGCGGCGUCCAGCGCUGCCGCCAGCAUCUCCCACAUGUCUGCUGCAGCGGCACCAGAGCCCAAGAAGGACACUCCAGCUGCUCCUCCCGUGGCAGAAGCCGCUCCACCCGCAAAGGCCAAAGAGGAGCCGAGACCCACCACUCCUGCACAGCAAGCGGUCCCGGACAACAAAUCAGCCGACAGCACAGGGAACGCCUCCCCCAACAUGCCCCACAAGCUGGAGAAGAGGAACUCCCUCCAGCUGUUCUUCAAAAACCUGGGCCAAAAACGCCAUUCUGAUGCCGGAGUGCAAACGGACCCUGUGGCACCCGAGAAGGCCAAAUAAAACCCCGCCUUUGUUUUGAUCGCUCAUCUGUGCCAAAACCAUUGGCAGCCAUGCACAUAAGAACAUAUUUACCAAAGUUGGGAGGUAUUAUGCUGACUUGCAAGGCCCAAGUUUGAAGUAACUAUCAAAUAAUAAUCUGAAUUCCCAUGCAUUUAAUGAGAGCAGAAGUAAGUGUAACGAUUUCCCUGUUAAGCAAGUGCUACAUGUGUUUAUGACCGGAGGGAGGAACUCGUGUUGUUUUUCAGAGAGAAACGUGUCAGAGUUGCGUGGUGUGGCAUGAGAUGGAAAAGUGAAAGUGAAAAUGUAAUCCUGCAUUGAAGAUAAACUCCCUUUUUUAUGUGCAUGUUAAAAUGUAAAAUAUGUUAACUAUACUAACACUACUUAUAUUGCAUCACACAUUAAAGCCGAUGCAUUAAGAUGCCUUUUCACCGGGACAAAGAUAACAUCAUGCGCGUUUGCAUGUGAAAAGAAUUUAUUUAUGUAAUCAUACACUGUCAUCUGAUUAUGAAUACAAUGACCCAUCGUCUGCUGAAUUCAAUCACUGAAACCUACAAAGCCAAUUUGAAUUCCACUUAAAGUGCAAAACUUCUGAAUCACUUUAAUAAAUCCAUAGAAAUCACAAUUAUUUAUUUAACAUAAUGUCAAUCAAAUUGAGCACCAUAUAUUAUUACUCCAAAUUAUUCGGUUAUUUAAGUUCAGCCCAGUUUCUAUUUAAAAAAUAAUAAUUGUUUUCAUUUCUACAAUUGUUUAUUAAUCAUAACUUACUAACUAAACCACAUUACAAUUAUUGUCUUUUUAUUUGCUUGGCCGUCCAUUUCUGACCGGAGGAGACUAAAAAGAAAUUAAGCUAGUUAAAUGUUUUAUUUUCUUUCUUAUUUUCCGAACAUAUCAGUUGUUAUUAGAACAGUAUGAAAUAAAUAUGUGGUAUACAGUUAUGCAAUAUACAAUGUACAUUCAAUUUAGCUGCAGUCACAUGUGUUUUAUGAUUUUCUUCCUAAUUAUCGCUACAUUUGUAAAGAGUAGAUGGGCCUAAUUAAGAAUUCAGACUGUAUCCAUGAAUCUUAGACUUUCUGUAACUCCUUUGUUGCAUUUUUGUCUAUUUAACCAAUUUAUAAAAAUAAAAGAAUCAUUUCUCUCCUCUGUAAAAAUGACUCGUUCUGUAUUUACAGCAUGAAAACAUAGAUUUUAAAAUAUAUAGUUUUACAUUUUCCUGGGGGAAAAAAAGUGUUUGCUGGUGUAGGUUUCCACAUGGCUAUAUAUAUAUAUAUAUAUAUAUAUAUAUAUUGUAAUUAUGAUUUAGUUUACAGCUAAUUUCUUAAUAGUUUGCUUUGUUAAGUCUGAUAUUUCCAAAGAGGGCAUGUGUCCGGACCGCCUACAGGGCAGCACAAAUUUGGAAAACUAUUAACAUGGGACAAAAGAUGCAUGGUAUUCUAGGCACUUUUUGUGAGUGCAGUGUGCUCUUCAUGCUGGUGUUUUCCCG